GUGACAGCGUACUCAGGUGACCUAGAUUAGUCACACAAGCACCUUUUAUUGUCACGCCUCUGGUCCUACUAUGAAUGGCAGCUGGGGCUGGACAGGGAAAAGCCUUGAAUGCCACACACAGAGGCGGAAAGACCAGGCGGGAGCUUCUCAGGCUGCCCAAGGACCCAGGAAGUUGGAAGUCUGGGACAAACCCAUCUUGUGGAUUCUAGGAGAGCUGGUUGUUUGAAGGACACUGCUCUGGCCUGGUACCAUCAACGUUCAGACAACACAGGAAAGAAGUCACUGCCGGUGGCAGACACUGGGGAAGAAAUGGCUGUCUCCACAAGCACCCGCUCAAGGGGCUUCCGUGCUGUGGCCCGGUAGGUGGCUCGUGGCAGAUGAUCGGAACCUGCCUCA
rnacentral:lncRNA from 1 species